GAUGAACGCUGGCGGCGUGCCUAAUACAUGCCAGUCGAGCGAACAGACGAGGAGCUUGCUCCUCUGACGUUAGCGGCGGACGGGUGAGUAACACGUGGAUAACCUACCUAUAAGACUGGGAUAACUUCGGGAAACCGGAGCUAAUACCGGAUAAUAUAUUGAACCGCAUGGUUCAAUAGUGAAAGACGGUUUUGCUGUCACUUAUAGAUGGAUCCGCGCCGCAUUAGCUAGUUGGUAAGGUAACGGCUUACCAAGGCAACGAUGCGUAGCCGACCUGAGAGGGAGAACGGCCACACUGGAACUGAGACACGGUCCAGACUCCUACGGGAGGCAGCAGUAGGGAAUCUUCCGCAAUGGGCGAAAGCCUGACGGAGCAACGCCGCGUGAGUGAUGAAGGUCUUCGGAUCGUAAAACUCUGUUAUUAGGUAAGAACAAAUGUGUAAGUAACUAUGCACGUCUUGACGGUACCUAAUCAGAAAGCCACGGCUAACUACGU
rnacentral:rRNA from 1 species